GGGGUUGUGGUUCAGUGGUAGAGCACUUGCUUAGCAUGUAUGAGGCACUGGGUUUGAUUCUCAGCACCA
rnacentral:tRNA from 1 species